rnacentral:rRNA from 1 species
UACAGAGGGGGCGAGCGUUGUUCGGAAUUACUGGGCGUAAAGGGCGCGUAGGCGGCCCGCUAAGUCGAACGUGAAAUCCCCAGGCUCAACCCAGGAACUGCGUCCGAUACUGGAAGGCUUGAAUCCGGGAGAGGGAUGCGGAAUUCCAGGUGUAGCGGUGAAAUGCGUAGAUAUCAGGAGGAACACCGGUGGCGAAGGCGCACAUCUGGCCCGAUACUGACGCUGAGGCGCGAAAGCUAGGGGAGCAAACGGG